rnacentral:rRNA from 1 species
AGAGUUUGAUCCUGGCUCAGGAUGAACGCUAGCGGGAGGCCUAACACAUGCAAGCCGAGCGGUAGAGAUUCUUCGGAAUCUUGAGAGCGGCGUACGGGUGCGGAACACGUGUGCAACCUACCUUUAUCUGGAGGAUAGCCUUUUCGAAAGGAAGAUUAAUACUCCAUAAUAUAUUGAUUGGCAUCAAUUGAUAUUGAAAGCUCCGGCGGAUAGAGAUGGGCACGCGCAAGAUUAGUUAGUUGGUGAGGUAACGGCUCACCAAGACGAUGAUCUUUAGGGGGCCUGAGAGGGUGAUCCCCCACACUGGUACUGAGACACGGACCAGACUCCUACGGGAGGCAGCAGUGAGGAAUAUUGGUCAAUGGGUGCAAGCCUGAACCAGCCAUCCCGCGUGAAGGACGACUGCCCUAUGGGUUGUAAACUUCUUUUGUAUAGGGAUAAACCUACCCUCGUGAGGGUAGCUGAAGGUACUAUACGAAUAAGCACCGGCUAACUCCGUG